rnacentral:lncRNA from 1 species
GGGAGAAGGGAAGGGGCGCCGAGAGCAGACGCGCGGGGACUCGGCGAGGGUACGUCGUAAACGGUGACUACUCCGGGUGUCCCAGCCGGCCAGCGAGGACGAUGGUGGCGGCGGGGCGCGGGCCAGCCCGGCCGCGGGCGCCGUGAUCCCGAGCGCAGCGCCCGGCAUGCCGCUGCGGUCCCCGGCCUCGGCCCCGCUCCGUCCCCGCCGCGCGCCCCCGCCGAGCGGCGCGCACCAUGCCGCGGGUGCCCGCGACCCUCUACGCCUGUCUGCUCGGGCUCUGCGCGCUCGUGCCGCGCCUCGCAGGGCUCAACAUAUGCACCAGUGGAAGUGCCACCUCAUGUGAAGAAUGCCUGUUAAUCCACCCAAAAUGUGCCUGGUGCUCCAAAGAGUACUUUGGCAACCCACGGUCCAUCAUCUCUCGGUGUGACCUGAAGGCAAACCUCAUCCGAAAUGGCUGUGGAGGUGAGAUUGAGAGUCCGGCCAGCAGCACCCACGUCCUUCGGAACCUGCCUCUCAGCAGCAAGGGUUCCAGUGCCAUGGGCUCUGACGUCAUCCAGAUGACGCCACAGGAGAUUGCAGUGAGCCUCCGUCCAGGUGA